GCCUUCCAUGAAGCCGGAAUUGCUAGUAAUGGCAGGUCAGCAUACUGCCGUGAAUACGUUCCCGGGCCUUGUACACACCGCCCGUCACACCAUGAGAGUUGGGGAUACCCGAAGCCUGUGAGCUAACAGUAAUGGAGCAGCAGUCGAAGAUAGAAUCAAUGAUUGGGGUGAAGUCGUAACAAGGUAGC
rnacentral:rRNA from 1 species